AUAACGCCUUAAGAACUGGUGCUCUUUGAUAUGAAUGCUCUUUUUUCCUUUGCAUUAAUAUGCCGAGUCAAUUCAUCUGCUUCGAUCAUACCGCAAAGGAUAUAAAUAAUUUGAAAUCUAGCCAGAUUAUCAUAGAAUGAAUAUAUAUUUGCAAUGCCUAGGUUGGGGGCCUAGACAUUCCCUGGAGGACUUAACUAUGUAUAGGGUACGCGCUCCAAUAACAGCGGCAUCCGUUAUUAUGUAUGAGGGUAAACCUGCUAUAAGAGCCCGUGCUGGUUUAACCAUUACAAUAUUAAUAGA
rnacentral:sRNA from 2 species